rnacentral:lncRNA from 1 species
CUCAGCGGGCUUGGGUCGUCCGGCCGCGGGGUCAGGGAAGACCAGAGGACCACUAGCCCCAGGAAGCUUCCCACCACCAGCAAACUGCGUGGUGAAUUUGUAACCGAAAGGCCCAGGUGAGAUGUGCAAAUAUCACUGGAUUGGAGGAGCUCACUUGGAAAGCCAGUAUUCCUCCUGAGCUAAUGAAAAGAAAGGCUGUCGUCUUAUGCCAAAAGCAAUACCAACCUUGUUCACGGGCUGAGAUCUAGAGUGUGUAAUUCACGAAGUAUGAAUCUGCUGGGUAAUGUGAUAUGAAAAGCGAAUGCACCAUUUCUUGGUGAUGAUUCAGGUCAGCGUUGGGACCCAGGAAUCUCCUGUUAAUCAGUACCCUGGUGAUUUUGAUCCAGAGACGGGGUCUAUUAUCUGGUCCUGUUGUCAAGGCUGGUCUCAAACUCCUGGCCUCCAGCGAUCCUCCCUUUUUGGCCUCCCAAGAUGCUGGUAUUACAGGCAUGAGCCACCAUGGUCCACCCGGACUCCUUUUCAUAGGAGACAGUUCCCUAGGCAGAGACUGGGCUUGAAACAGUUCCUCUAAAGAAGAGGGUAGAGACUAGAACUGAAUGAGAUGGACAUAGAGAUGGCCAAGAAAAGCAUCGUCCUCUGCCAAGUCAUGGGGUCAUGUGUGGUGGAUGGUGACAUGGUGUCCUCAGCUCAGAGUCCAGCUGGGGGCUCAGAAGCAAGAGUGGGUACAGAGGAAAGGCCCUAUGAGGAUACAGCAAGAAGGCAGCCAUCUGCAAGUCAGGAAGAGACCUAUCAUCAGAAACCAACCAUGCUGGCACCUUGAUCUUGGACUUUGAGUCUCCAGAACUGUGAGAAAUAAAGUUGUUGUUUAAGCCACCUAGUCUCUGAUAUUCUGCUACAGCAGUUUGAGCAGAGUAAUAUAGUUGGCUAUCCAGUUAAACGCCCUAUCACCUACAGCCCCAUCCUCAUUGCCUACUUCCUUCUAGAGAGUGAGCUCCCAUAGAUCUGGCUAAGUGAGUAGCAAGGAAGCAAUGUAAUCUUGCGACCUGAGAACAGCCAUUUAUCCCAGCUGUUCACACUUGAUCUAAGUUUGUCCAACAGAUUCACUCUAGGGGGAAUUUAAAGCAGGGACUUAGAAAUUCUAGUUAGUUUCUGUGAGAUGCCUUAAAAGAGAAAGUAUUUGAAGCCUGGGCUGUGGAACCAUGUGCAUGAAUAUUUUUGGGGAGAAGAAAAAGAAUAAAGUAGAUAUGCAAAUGUGUGAAGAGAGGAAGAGAUGCUAAUCCAUGAGAGUAGCCUAAGAGAGACUGGAGGAGGGACCUUGGCUGUGAACUCUGAAGUGCUGACUUCCAGUCUCUUAAGAGUCCCCAUUCAAGUUCUGUACUUGGUUUCUAUGAAAUAUCUCUGAUUUUUAACAAAAAUUCCUUUUUGCUUCAGCUGUCUCUAAGCAACUUCUGUUGUUUUGCAACCUGAUUCCUUAGUAAGACAUAUGGAAACAUGUAAAUCAAAGCCUAAAGUAUGAAUUAAGUAAAAAUUCCACAAUAAACAUAAGGUUGAUUCAUGAA